GCCAGACUCCUACGGGAGGCAGCAGUGGGGGAUAUUGCACAAUGGGGGGAACCCUGAUGCAGCGACGCCGCGUGGGUGAAGGAGCGUUUCGGCGCGUAAAGCCCUAUCGGCAGGGAAGAAGGAGGACGGUACCUGACUAAGAAGCCCCGGCUAACUACGUGCCAGCAGCCGCGGUAAUACGUAGGGGGCAAGCGUUAUCCGGAUUUACUGGGUGUAAAGGGGGCGCAGACGGCAGCGCAAGCCAGGGGUGAAAGCCCGGGGCCCAACCCCGGGACUGCUCUUGGAACUGCGCGGCUGGAGUGCAGGAGGGGCAGGCGGAAUUCCUGGUGUAGCGGUGAAAUGCAUAGAUAUUAGGAGGAACACCAGUGGCGAAGGCGGCCUGCUGGACUGCAACUGACGUUGAGGCCCGAAAGCGUGGGGAGCAAACAGGAUUAGAUACCCCAGUAA
rnacentral:rRNA from 1 species